UAGGGUAUCUUCGGCAAUGGACGAAAGUCUGACCGAGCAACGCCGCGUGAGUGAAGAAGGUUUUCGGAUCGUAAAACUCUGUUGUUAGAGAAGAACAAGGACGUUAGUAACUGAACGUCCCCUGACGGUAUCUAACCAGAAAGCCACGGCUAACUACGUGCCAGCAGCCGCGGUAAUACGUAGGUGGCAAGCGUUGUCCGGAUUUAUUGGGCGUAAAGCGAGCGCAGGCGGUUUCUUAAGUCUGAUGUGAAAGCCCCCGGCUCAACCGGGGAGGGUCAUUGGAAACUGGGAGACUUGAGUGCAGAAGAGGAGGGUGGAAUUCCAUGUGUAGCGGUGAAAUGCGUAGAUAUAUGGAGGAACACCAGUGGCGAAGGCGGCUCUCUGGUCUGUAACUGACGCUGAGGCUCGAAAGCGUGGGGAGCAAACAGG
rnacentral:rRNA from 1 species